AGGCAUCAGCCCAGUAAGCAGAUGCUUGGGGCUGCUAAGGGAGAGGGGCAGCGCGUCAGGCUCUUCGGCCUGCGAUAGCAGCUUUUUUUUAUUUUAUUUUUAUUUUUGCUACUUGGAGCAGCAAAAACUCUGGAGCCCGCCCUCACAGUUUGGAGUUUGUUUCUGAUCAGAAAUUCAUCAGGGAGAAGGGAGCAACACAGAAUUCUGCCUGUGGGUGUAACUGACUCACACUGAUUUAGGGCAACAGGUUUUUUGAACAGCGCCUGAAUCUGGCAGAUUAAACCCCCAGAAUUCCUUAGAAUUUCGCACCGUGUUUGAGAAACUUUUUCUAAGGAAUUAUUCGUGACCGUGCUGCAGCGUUUCUUGAGACCCGUCCCCAGGCGGCAGGAGUGACUGAUUUAGCGCCUGCGAGUCUCUUUGCCGGCCGGGACAGCGCUCCGGCUAUGCGCGCUCUGGGGGGUUCCGGCCUGCGGGCGCUGCUCUCAGUAGCAUGCUUGAUUUCAUGGUGUUACGUCCUAGCUGGGCCCCCAGGAGAGAGGAUGACUGCUGCUGCUGGAUCCUGCAUUGUGCUCCCUGGACUGGAUCAGUUGCAGGGUGUUAGCCUCAUGCAAUGGAAAUUUUCUGAGCAGUACCUUGUGACUUAUCAUGUCAAUAACUCCAGUCUUCCUGACAUUGUGGACCAAGACAGAUUUCUUUUCCAGAAGUCAAAUGGAUCUCUCCAGAUCUGUGGAUUAAAAGUGAAUGACAGUGGGAUCUAUACCCUAAUAAUAAACAUGAAGAAGCAAAAUGACAGAUCCAUCCAACUAGAAGUUGUUGAGCCUGUGUCCCAGCCGGAACUCUGGAGCAACUUGUCCUUGAUCGGCCUUACCACUGAGCUGGUGUGCAACACCUCAGUUGAGAAAGUGGCUAAAUAUCAGUGGAAGAAGGAUGGGAAGCCCCUCCCUAUAGAAAGCCAUUACCAGCUCUCUCAGAAUAACAGUGUAUUACUCAUAUUAACCACCACCUGGUCUGACAAAGGCUCCUAUAGUUGUAAUGUCAGCAAUGAGGUCAGAUGGCAUGAACUUUCCCUGGAGCUGUCCAUUCAACAAAACAGAAAGAGAAUAUGGAUGCUGCUCCCCAUUGGAAUAUGUAUGAUUGCCUGUGUUGUCACUGAGCCCUUGUCUCAGCCAGAACUCCGGAGCAACUCUUCCUUGGUGGGCUCCACCAUCGAAUUUGUCUGUAAGGUGCCAAUAGGGAAAGUUGAUUCCUAUCAGCGGAAGAAGGAUGGCAAGCGUCUCCCUGAAGACAGUCACUUCCUGCUCUUUCAGAAUGACAGCAUUUUAUGUAUACUGAACACAGCACUGUCUGACAAUGGGGUGUACACCUGUGAAGUCAGCAAUCAAGUCAGCUGGUAUGAAACCUCCCUGAAACUAGACAUCCAGAGUAAGUGGGCAUUUAAUUUUAAUGCAACAAACAGAAUUGCAAAUCAAAUCAAAUUCCAGUAACAAAUGACCCCAGUGGUAUUUCUGGGUGGGUUGAGGAGAGGCAGGUUGGCAGGGAGGGAGGAGGAGGAGGAAAAUGAUCAGAGGUUGUUGAAUAACGCUUGGUUACAUUUUCAAGAAGAUUGAUAGAUUCCAGGCCAGAAGGGACCAUUGUGAUCAUCUAGUCUGCCCUCCUGUGUAAUACAGGCCAGAGAACUUUUCCCACAAUAAUUCCUAGAGCAGAUCUUUCAGAAAAACAUCCAGUCUUGAUUUAAAGAUUGUCAGUGAUGGAGAACCCACCACAGCCUUUGGUAUAGUGUUCCAAUGGUUAAUUACUCUCACUAUUAAAAAUUUACACCUUUAUGUCCAGUCUGAAUUUCUAUAGCUUCAACUUCCAGCCAUUGCAUUGUGGAUAUGUUGGAACUGUACACUAGUGCUGGUUGAAAACUUACCAUCAACUCUUUUUAGGCUAAAUGAAAAAUUUUGCUUGAAAAAUUUAAUUCCCCCCAUCCCCCACAAGACAACCUGAAAAGUUUUGAGAUUGUGUGUGUGCGUGCAUACGCACGUGUGUGUUGUUUUGAAGAAAAGUCAAAAUUUUCUGCAGGAUUUUUUCACACCAAUCAGCUCUACUGUUUAUCUAUUGAUGCACAAUUGCACAUACAUGUAAUUCAGUGCUUCAGAGCAUAACACUUAUUGUGGUCGUAAAUACGGCCCUGAAUUAUCAAAACACUCAGCAAAGCUCUUAAGUACGUUCCUAACUUUAAGCAUUUGAGUAGUCUGAAAAUGGAACAUAAACACAUGCCUAAGUGCCUCUUUUAUUAUAAGUGGGUUAUCUUCACUUGUGGACAUUGGUUUAAAGAUGUAGAUGCACCUUGAAAUAAUCUAACACCUAAGCUGAGUAUCUGUGCUUAGGCGAUGCAUUUGCACUCAGAAGUAAUGAGGAUGUAUUUAAAAUGAGCCUGAACCAACCUGUCCAAAUCUAAAUACACCCAGAAUCUGAGAGAACUUGAGACCCAUCCCAGAC
ensembl:lncRNA